rnacentral:rRNA from 1 species
GACGAACUUUGGCGGCGUGCUUAACACAUGCAAGUCGAACGGAAAGGCCCUGCUUUUGUGGGGUGCUCGAGUGGCGAACGGGUGAGUAACACGUGAGUAACCUGCCCUUGACUUUGGGAUAACUUCAGGAAACUGGGGCUAAUACCGGAUAGGAGCUCCUGCUGCAUGGUGGGGGUUGGAAAGUUUCGGCGGUUGGGGAUGGACUCGCGGCUUAUCAGCUUGUUGGUGGGGUAGUGGCUUACCAAGGCUUUGACGGGUAGCCGGCCUGAGAGGGUGACCGGCCACAUUGGGACUGAGAUACGGCCCAGACUCCUACGGGAGGCAGCAGUGGGGAGUAUUGCACAAUGGGCGGAAGCCUGAUGCAGCAACGCCGCGUGCGGGAUGACGGCCUUCGGGUUGUAAACCGCUUUCGCCUGUGACGAGGCGUGAGUGACGGUAAUGGGUAAAGAAGCACCGGCUAACUACGUGCCAGCAGCCGCGGUGAUACGUAGGGUGCGAGCGUUGUCCGGAUUUAUUGGGCGUAAAGGGCUCGUAGGUGGUUGAUCGCGUCGGAAGUGUAAUCUUGGGGCUUAACCCUGAGCGUGCUUUCGAUACGGGUUGACUUGAGGAAGGUAGGGGAGAAUGGAAUUCCUGGUGGAGCGGUGGAAUGCGCAGAUAUCAGGAGGAACACCAGUGGCGAAGGCGGUUCUCUGGGCCUUUCCUGACGCUGAGGAGCGAAAGCGUGGGGAGCGAACAGGCUUAGAUACCCCGGUAGUCCACGCUGUAAACGGUGGGUACUAGGUGUGGGGUCCAUUCCACGGGUUCCGUGCCGUAGCUAACGCUUUAAGUACCCCGCCUGGGGAGUACGGCCGCAAGGCUAAAACUCAAAGGAAUUGACGGGGCCCCGCACAAGCGGCGGAGCAUGCGGAUUAAUUCGAUGCAACGCGUAGAACCUUACCUGGGUUUGACAUGGAUCGGGAGUGCUCAGAGAUGGGUGUGCCUCUUUUGGGGUCGGUUCACAGGUGGUGCAUGGCUGUCGUCAGCUCGUGUCGUGAGAUGUUGGGUUAAGUCCCGCAACGAGCGCAACCCUUGUUCACUGUUGCCAGCACGUUAUGGUGGGGACUCAGUGGAGACCGCCGGGGUCAACUCGGAGGAAGGUGGGGAUGACGUCAAGUCAUCAUGCCCCUUAUGUCCAGGGCUUCACGCAUGCUACAAUGGCUGGUACAGAGAGUGGCGAGCCUGUGAGGGUGAGCGAAUCUCGGAAAGCCGGUCUCAGUUCGGAUUGGGGUCUGCAACUCGACCUCAUGAAGUCGGAGUCGCUAGUAAUCGCAGAUCAGCAACGCUGCGGUGAAUACGUUCCCGGGGCU